rnacentral:rRNA from 1 species
AACGAACGCUGGCGGCAUGCCUAACACAUGCAAGUCGAACGAGAUCUUCGGGUCUAGUGGCGCACGGGUGCGUAACGCGUGGGAAUCUGCCCUUUGGUUCGGAAUAACAGUUGGAAACGACUGCUAAUACCGGAUGAUGACGAAAGUCCAAAGAUUUAUCGCCAGAGGAUGAGCCCGCGUAGGAUUAGCUAGUUGGUGUGGUAAAGGCGCACCAAGGCGACGAGCCUUAGCUGGUCUGAGAGGAUGAUCAGCCACACUGGGACUGAGACGCGGCCCAGACUCCUACGGGAGGCAGCAGUGGGGAAUAUUGGACAAUGGGCGAAAGCCUGAUCCAGCAAUGCCGCGUGAAUGAUGAAGGCCUUAGGGUUGUAAAGCUCUUUUACCCGGGAUGAUAAUGACAGUACCGGGAGAAUAAGCUCCGGCUAACUCCGUGCCAGCCGCCGCCGUAA